AAAGGCGCUCUUGGAAAUGGCAAGAUCCAAGAAUAAUGAUGUUGUUGCACAAGUUGCAAGGGGUAUAGCUAAUUUUGCAAAAUGCGAAUCUCGAGGCAUACUUCAAGGACACAAAAAGGGCCGUUCACUACUAAUGGAAGAUGGUGCUCUUGAAUGGUUAAUUGCCUACUCUAACACUACUUCGGUGUCAACCAGGCGCNNNNNNNNGAGCUUGCUCUUUGUCAUUUGGCUCAAAAUGAGGACAAUGUCAAGGAUUUCAUUUCUGGAGGAGGUGUUAAAGAACUUGUACGAAUAUCAGUUGAAUCUAGUAGGGAAGAUAUCCGUAACCUUGCAAAGAAGACCCUGAAAAUGAACCCAACAUUUCAAGCUGAUAUACGUUGGGAGUAGCAGUAAAUUGUCAAGCUUUCAUACUCUCCCCCUAAUAGUAUAAUGCUUGGGUACAAAAUCAAUAGUAAAUUUGGCAGAAAAUUCUCUGAUAAUUUUUUGAACAGCUGUCCUGGCAAUUUUCGUUUUUCUUGGGCUUAAGAUCUAAAUUAGAC
rnacentral:misc_RNA from 1 species